rnacentral:sRNA from 1 species
CGUAAUUUCUAUUUUAAAAGGCAUAUAUAGAAAUAAAUAGAAAAGCUGCUGAGUCUAUGGUAAAAUUUUAUACCUGCUUCCCAGUAAUGAUGGAUGGAAAUCAACUCUCAAUAAGUAUGGCUCCUGAAAACAUGAAUAUAAAAGAUGAGGAAACUAUAUUUAUAACCUUGGUAAAAGAAAAUGACCCAGAGGCAAACAUAGAUACAAUUUAUGAUCGAUUUGUACAUCUUGAUAAUUUACCGGAAGAUGGACUUCAGUGUGUACUUUGUGUUGGACUUCAGUUUGGAAAAGUGGAUCACCAUGUAUUCAUAAGUAAUAGAAACAAGGCAAUUCUUCAGUUAGAUAGUCCUGAAUCUGCUCAGUCAAUGUACAGCUUUCUGAAACAAAAUCCACAAAACAUUGGUGACCAUAUGUUGACCUGCUCAUUAUCUCCAAAGAUAGACUUACCAGAGGUGCAAAUUGAGCAUGACCCAGAAUUAGAAAAAGAAAGACUUUGGCUGAGCAAAACACUAAGAAUCCUAAAAGCACUACUGGUAGAAGUUCCAAAUCUAAAGAGGAGCCAUUAUUUCCAUUUAAUUUGGAUGAAUUUGUUACUGUGGAUGAGGUUAUAGAAGAAGUGAAUCCUUCUCAGGCCAAGCAGAAUCCACUGAAGGGAAAAAGGAAAGAAACUCUCAAAAAUGUUCCUUUCUCUGAACUUAACUUA